ensembl:lncRNA
CCUGGAGUCCCAGCUGCUUCAAGGGCUGAGGCAGGAGGAUCCUUUGGAGCCCAGGAGUUUCAGACAAGCCUGGACACCAAGAACCCUGUCUCUUCACACACACAAAUAGAUCUAAAGGUUAAAAAACUUAAAACUUAUAGAGAAAAACAGGAUAGAAUCUAUGACCUAUGAGCAAAUAGCUGUAAGUGCUAUGCAGAAGAUUGGUAAGCAGUUUUGAGCCGGCCACGGUUGUACACACCUGUAAUCCCAGCACUUGAGGCUGAGGAGGAAGAUCACUGAGCAAGGCCAGCUUGGGCUACAAAAGGACAUGGAGAGUGGCAGUGAAUUGUAAUCAGGAAGCAAUGCCAACUGCUGUUUCAGAAGUCACUUUUUGUGGAGUUUUUUUUUUUGCCAGAGCGGAUCAGCAUAUCCCCUGCCAUCUGCCCAGCUACAGAAUAACUCCAGUUUGGCCUCCGGUCACAACUGAGACUUCAGUGAUCCAGUGAUGCUGUGAUUUUUUAGGACAAAAAACAUCCUGGGAGAACAAACAUCUGUUUAGUUCCUCAUUGUUCUUGGACUGUUAACAUCUUGUUUACCCAAGAUGUACUGAGCUCUCUACAAGCCUUUUGUUACGAGAUACUAAAUAAAAGAUACGAG